CUAAACCCCCAAGGUACCUCCCCAUGUGGGAGAGGGGAAGGCUGGUUAAAAACCUCCAGCACCCGCCAGUCGCUCACAAAACCCCCAGCCCCACACGAGGCCGAGGCCCCUCUCCCAGGGGAAUCUGUGGCACAGCCCGAGAGUCCCGGGAGGAGACGCAGCCCGAGGAGACGAUGAGGCGUUUGUGGCUGGUGCUGCUGCUGGUUCUGGCGCUGGCCGGGGCUGCCCUGGCUGGGCCCAUCCUGCAGCAGCCGCUGGGCGUGGAGGGUCCCGGCGCGGUGGCAGCGCGUGAUGGGGCGUCACCCCAACGGCAGCCGCUGGGCAGGAGAGUGAGACGGGCCACGCAGGCACCAAAGACCAUAGAUUGGCUACCUGGCAGCCUCUCGGUGGUACACCAUCCCAUUGGGGUGAAAAUCAUUCAUGUGCCCAGACGCCACGCCUAGGGAGGGGACGGCACCUCCAGUCACUCCCCUCUGGCUGGGCCCAGCUGGCCUCCCCUCCCCCACCCGUUCCCUGGCACUGCUGAGCUGUCGGCGAAGGUUACACGUCAGGAGUGAGCUUGCUGCUGGCUGCGGGGUACAGAAGCUCCCAGCCCCUGCCGAGCGCUGCGGGCGGAGGCCAGGACUGGGCCCUGUCGGUCGUGGGAUUCUCAGUCCCUCCGUGCCGGGCGAUGAACCCGCUUUGCUGAGCCUGGAGCUUCCCGUGUCUUUUCCAUUUAUUCACUUGCACCAAUAAAAGCAGGAACCUCUGA